rnacentral:rRNA from 1 species
UGCCAGACUCCUACGGGAGGCAGCAGUGAGGAAUAUUGGUCAAUGGGCGGGAGCCUGAACCAGCCAAGCCGCGUGAGGGAAGAAGGUACAGCGUAUCGUAAACCUCUUUUGUCAGGGAACAAAGGCGGGGACUAGUCCCCGGAUGAGGGUACCUGAAGAAAAAGCAUCGGCUAACUCCGUGCCAGCAGCCGCGGUAAUACGGAGGAUGCGAGCGUUAUCCGGAUUUAUUGGGUUUAAAGGGUGCGUAGGCGGUCCGUUAAGUCAGCGGUAAAAUUGCGGGGCUCAACCCCGUCGAGCCGUUGAAACUGGCAGACUUGAGUUGGCGAGAAGUACGCGGAAUGCGCGGUGUAGCGGUGAAAUGCAUAGAUAUCGCGCAGAACUCCGAUUGCGAAGGCAGCGUACCGGCGCCACACUGACGCUGAGGCACGAAAGCGUGGGGAUCGAACAGGAUUAGAUACCCUAGUAGAA